rnacentral:rRNA from 1 species
AAGAGUGCGUGAAACCGUCCGGGGGUAAACCUGCGAAACCCAAAAGAUCGAUUGAGGGGAUUCAUUGUCAGUGUAUUCAGUAUUAAUCCAGGCUGGGAUGGGAUAAAAGAAUCCUUGUGGUCACUCGAUAAUACUUGCUUGUAUUUUUUUUGCUGGAUAUGUCGGCGUGCACUUCUCCUCUAGUAGAACGUCGCAACCCGUUGGAUGUUUAUUUAUGGCCUGAUUGGUAGCCUUCGAUUUUUUAUUAUUUAGAAGACCUUUUGGUGUCUGGAUAAACUGUCUGUCGGUAUACAUAAUAAUAGUUUUGGGCCGCAAUUUUUUGGGUUAGAAUUAUCGCAAGUUAAGGCUUUAUUCUGGUAGUGCGGAAUUAAUGCCCUCGCUGGAGAAAGUCUGCAGUUAUCUGAGGAAUGUCUCUAACUGGGUUAUUUACUGGGUAGGGAACCGACUGGGUUGGGUAC